rnacentral:rRNA from 1 species
UAGCAUAUCAUAGUGGCGCACGGGUGCGUAACACGUAUGCAACCUACCUUAUACUGAGGGAUAGCCUUUCGAAAGGGAGAUUAAUACCUCAUAACACAUUGAACUGGCAUCAGUUUAUUGUUGAAGAUUUAUUGGUAUAAGAUGGGCAUGCGUCCAAUUAGUUAGUUGGCGAGGUAACGGCUCACCAAGACGAUGAUUGGUAGGGGAACUGAGAGGUUAAUCCCCCACACUGGCACUGAGAUACGGGCCAGACUCCUACGGGAGGCAGCAGUAGGGAAUAUUGGGCAAUGGAGGCAACUCUGACCCAGCCAUGCCGCGUGCAGGAAGAAGGCGUUAUGCGUUGUAAGCUGCUUUUAUAUAGGAAGAAAUAGACCUUGCGAGGUAAGUUGACGGUACUAUAUGAAUAAGCACCGGCUAACUCCGUGCCAGCAGCCGCGGUAAUACGGAGGGUGCAAGCGUUGUCCGGAUUUAUUGGGUUUAAAGGGUGCGUAGGCGGUUUAUUAAGUCAGUGGUGAAAGACGGUCGCUCAGCGAUUGCAGUGCCAUUGAUACUGGUAGACUUGAGUGGGAUUGAGGUAGCUGGAAUGGAUAGUGUAGCGGUGAAAUGCAUAGAUAUUAUCCAGAACACCAAUUGCGUAGGCAAGUUACUAAGUCUCAACUGACGCUGAGGCACGAAAGUGUG